CCGCCCGUCACACCAUGGGAGUCUGUUAUACCGGAAAUCAGUGAGCGAACCGUAAGGACGCAGCUGCUUAUGGUAUGACCGAUGACUGGGGUG
rnacentral:rRNA from 1 species